rnacentral:rRNA from 1 species
GAUGAACGCUGGCGGCGUGCCUAACACAUGCAAGUCGAGCGAUCUUCUUCGGAAGAGAGCGGCGGACGGGUGAGUAACGCGUGGGUAACCUGCCCUGUACACACGGAUAACAUACCGAAAGGUAUGCUAAUACGGGAUGAUGUAUGAAAGUCGCAUGGCUUUUAUAUCAAAGCUCCGGCGGUACAGGAUGGACCCGCGUCUGAUUAGCUAGUUGGUAAGGUAACGGCUUACCAAGGCGACGAUCAGUAGCCGACCUGAGAGGGUGAUCGGCCACACUGGAACUGAGACACGGUCCAGACUCCUACGGGAGGCAGCAGUGGGGAAUAUUGCACAAUGGGCGAAAGCCUGAUGCAGCAACGCCGCGUGAGCGAUGAAGGCCUUCGGGUCGUAAAGCUCUGUCCUCAAGGAAGAUAAUGACGGUACUUGAGGAGGAAGCCCCGGCUAACUACGUGCCAGCAGCCGCGGUAAUACGUAGGGGGCUAGCGUUAUCCGGAAUUACUGGGCGUAAAGGGUGCGUAGGCGGUCUUUCAAGCCAGAAGUGAAAGGCUACGGCUCAACCGUAGUAAGCUUUUGGAACUGUAGGACUUGAGUGCAGGAGAGGAGAGUAGAAUUCCUAGUGUAGCGGUGAAAUGCGUAGAUAUUAGGAGGAAUACCAGUAGCGAAGGCGGCUCUCUGGACUGUAACUGACGCUGAGCACGAAAGCGUGGGGAGCAAACAGG